AAAAGAAAAAGAAAAGAAGGGAAGAAAAGAAAAAAGGAAAAAAAUUGGGAAAGAGAAAUUAGUUGGGCAAAAGAAAAACUGGAUGGCAGGCUGGCCUUCAACAUGUACUGAGGUCCUCACUAUGAGCCAAUGGAAGAGAUGAAAAACAAGAAUAGGAUGAGAUAUCUAAAUUUACAACAAAGCAGGGUGAAAGCUGGUUAAUGGAGAUCAGAAUUCUGGGGUUCUCUGCUAGCCUCAGUGACCACCAAUGUCUACCACCAAAGUGAGCAUCAAGUGGAUUCAGUCUCAUGAGUACUAUGUAGCUUAUAAUUAAUGGUCCCUUAAUACAAUUAUUUUAUAAGGAACAUUUCUAUCAUAUGACAACAUAAAGGAUUUAAUGUUCCACGUGAAUUUCCUAGAAUUUAACCAAUAUGCAUCAACAUGGUAAUGACUAGAGUAAUAUGUAAGAACAGAAAGACAGACACACACACACACGCACAUACACACAUACCUUGCCCAAAUGAGAAGUGAAAAAUCACUAUUAGAGUAUAUUGGAUUUUAUUUCUAGAGGAACUAAAUAUGGCCACUAGAUGGCACUGGAGUCUGAUUUCGUCUUUCUAGUUCCAGAACCAUCUCUGGGAAAAACAACUGUAAGACUAUCAUAAAUUUUCUGAGUCAGUUACUUGCUUAUCUGAUAUGAUGCAAGGUAUAAGACAUUUUGAUAUUCUUUUUCAAGUUACUGGCAAUCUUCUGUCAAUAAAUGAACAUACUGCCAACUCAACUUGAAGCAAACUGAUCUUGUCCAGACAAGUGAGUUUUGUGAUUCCUUGAAGAGCUUCCUAUAAGUAAAUUUAAGUUUCCACAAAUGAAAUAGAUUAUAAUUUCAAAUGAAAAAAGCACGAUAUGCCUCUCCCAAAGUGCUGACUCUAGCUCUCCAUUUCCUCUAGCACAUCUAGGGUAAUGCCUAGAAAUCCAUUCAACACACUUGUGCCAAGACAAGUGUUCCAGGGUCCACUUAGGUACUACGAGGCAGUUGGGCACCUCUUUGUGGAAUUUACAUUCUGGUGGAAAAGCCAGACAAUAAGCAAAUGAGUAGAUACAAUUAUUAUAUAUGCCAUGAAGAAGAUCAGUGGCUAACAUGGUAAGGACAGUGGGGUCAAGAGGAGGUGCGUUUGAUGAGGCGGUUAGAAGUCUUCUCUGAAAAGGUGAAAUUUGAGCUAGAACUAGAAUAAGAUAGAAUCUACCACAGAAAGAAGGUCAGCAUGGUAGAAGGAGCAAGGGGGGAAGGGGAAAGAGGUAAGAAAGGAGCUGGGAGAGGCAGGUAAACCGAGUCUAAGAGAGACUUAGAGUUUGUCUAAGGGAGACUGCAAGUUUGUAUUUCAUCUUGUUAUGUGAGUCACUGAAAGGUUUUAAGCAAGCAAAUAGCACAUUUGAUUUACAUUUUAAAAAGAUCAUUCUGGCUGCCAGUGGGCAAUGGAUUAUAUGACACAGGAUAAUAACAGCAAGUGCUCACUAUAUGUCUAUUAAAGGAAUGAAUGAACAACUAUGUCCACUGUGGCUAACACCACUAGGUGCUUAUUAUUCAUUGAAAUUCAUUUUAUCACAUUGAUAGAGUUAAUAACACUCUUAAGAUAAUAGUUCUCAAGCUUUAGCAUCCAUCAGAAUGAACUAGAGCACCUAUUAAACACAGAUUGCUAGGCUACACCCUUAAUCAUACUUUUAGACAUUACUUCCUCCCUCCACAGCUUCUGAUUCAGGAGAUUUGGGUGGGGCCCAAGAAUCUGAAUUUCCAACAAGUUCCCAGAUGAUGCCGAUGUCACUGAUCUGAGGACACUUGGAGACCCACUGCCAGAAGAUGGAACCCGUCUAUACAUAGCAAAUUUUGUUACUUUGACUUGCCGGCUGCUCCCUGCCAACCACCGUAUGUAUCUUUUAAUUAAGUAGAAAAGAGAUCUUAAAAGCUCACAUAAGCCUAGGAAACUCUAUUUCUGGCUGACAGCAAUGUCUCCUCAUUUGCUAGCAAAAGCACAGAUUGACAGAAUAGAAUAGAUCAAGAAAAUUGAUCGUUACUCAUAUGCUGGAUUGAGUCAAUAUAUGUAAAUCCAUCCCUAUUGCUGGCAGGCACUGAGAUGCUUGCCAUGCAGAACAGACACAGUUACAGCCUGUUUUCUAGUCCAAAUGCCAGCUUUUUGCUUUAAUGCAGCAAAACUACAGUUAUGUACUCGGAAAGCUCUUUUGUAUUCAUAACAACUGCAGUUUGAAUGUGGUUCAGGACAGAGAAACUGUAUUUACGAGCCAC